CAAGUAGGUGGUCUCGUUUGUCUGAGGUGAAAUCCCUGGGCUUAACCUAGGAACUGCCUCAGAAACGGCGAGACUGGAGUACUGGAGAGGGUCGCGGAAUUCCCGGUGUAGCGGUGAAAUGCGUAGAGAUCGGGAGGAAUACCAGAGGCGAAAGCGGCGGCCUGGACAGUUACUGACACUCAACUGCGAAAGCGUGGGGAGCAAACA
rnacentral:rRNA from 1 species